GGUCAGCGGCGGACGGGUGAGAAACACGUGGGCAACCUGCCCGCAAGACCGGGAUAACUCCSGGAAACCGGAGCUAAUACCGGAUAACACCAAAGACCGCAUGGUCUUUGGUUGAAAGGCGGCUUCGGCUGYCACUUGCGGAUGGGCCCGCGGCGCAUUAGCUAGUUGGUGAGGUAACGGCUCACCAAGGCGACGAUGCGUAGCCGGCCUGAGAGGGUGACCGGCCACACUGGGACUGARACACGGCCCAGACUCCUACGGGAGGCAGCAGUAGGGAAUCUUCCGCAAUGGACGAAAGUCUGACGGAGCGACGCCGCGUGAGCGAAGAAGGCCUUCGGGUCGUAAAGCUCUGUUGUGAGGGACGAAGGAGCGCCGUUUGAAUAAGGCGGCGCGGUGACGGUACCUCACGAGAAAGCCCCGGCUAACUACGUGCCAGCAGCCGCGGUAAUACGUAGGGGGCGAGCGUUGUCCGGAAUUAUUGGGCGUAAAGCGCGCGCAGGCGGUCCUUUAAGUCUGAUGUGAAAGCCCACGGCUCAACCGUGGAGGGUCAUUGGAAACUGGGGGACUUGAGUGCAGGAGAGGAGAGCGGAAUUCCACGUGUAGCGGUGAAAUGCGUAGAGAUGUGGAGGAACACCAGUGGCGAAGGCGGCUCUCUGGCCUGUAACUGACGCUGAGGCGCGAAAGCGUGGGGGAGCAAACAGGAUUAGAUACCCUGGUAGUCCACGCCGUA
rnacentral:rRNA from 1 species